UACCACCCCACAUAUAACCUUAUUUCUCUCAUUAUGAAGCUUAAUAAAAAUAUUUAUUUUUAACCUUUUUUCACCAUGACAAUUUAUUCCUUAGUAUUCUUUUUUUCCUUUUCUUUUUCUUUUUUCUUUUCCUAUCUUUUUUUCUUCCUUGUUCCUUUUCUCCUUUUCACUCUACCACUCCACAAUCCCAACCCUAUCUCAAAAUUGUUGGUGUC
rnacentral:lncRNA from 1 species